UUACAGGCUCUUGGUUACUCUCUAGA
rnacentral:piRNA from 1 species